rnacentral:rRNA from 1 species
UACGUAGGGGGCAAGCGUUGUCCGGAAUUACUGGGCGUAAAGGGCGCGUAGGCGGCCUGCUAAGUCGGACGUGAAAUCCCUCGGCUCAACCGGGGAACUGCGUCCGAUACUGGCGAGGCUUGAAUCCGGGAGAGGGAUGCAGAAUUCCAGGUGUAGCGGUGAAAUGCGUAGAUAUCUGGAGGAAUACCGGUGGCGAAGGCGGCAUCCUGGACCGACAUUGACGCUGAGGAGCGAAAGCCAGGGGAGCAAACGGG